rfam:Gillisia limnaea DSM 15749 genomic scaffold Gilliscaffold_2, whole genome shotgun sequence.
GCAGGGUACGCCGAAAACCUGAACACAGAGUAGGCA